rnacentral:rRNA from 1 species
GACGAACGCUGGCGGCGUGCUUAACACAUGCAAGUCGAACGGAAAGGCCCUGCUUUUGUGGGGUGCUCGAGUGGCGAACGGGUGAGUAACACGUGAGUAACCUGCCCUUGACUUUGGGAUAACUUCAGGAAACUGGGGCUAAUACCGGAUAGGAGCUCCUGCUGCAUGGUGGGGUUUGGAAAGUUUCGGCGGUUGGGGAUGGACUCGCGGCUUAUCAGCUUGUUGGUGGGGUAGUGGCUUACCAAGGCUUUGACGGGUAGCCGGCCUGAGAGGGUGACCGGCGACAUUGGGACUGAGAUACGGCCCAGACUCCUACGGGAGGCAGCAGUGGGGAAUAUUGCACAAUGGGCGGAAGCCUGAUGCAGCAACGCCGCGUGCGGGAUGACGGCCUUCGGGUUGUAAACCGCUUUAGCCUGUGACGAAGCGUGAGUGACGGUAAUGGGUAAAGAAGCACCGGCUAACUACGUG